CCCGCGGCGAGGAGCCAGCGAGAGCGCUCGGCGCUGGGCUGUUUCCCGGCCGAGGGAGGCGAACUUUUCAUGGGGAAGAAGUGGAGGGAUGCGGCGGAAAUGGAGCGGGGCUGCUCCGACCGCGAGGACAGCGCGGAGAGCCGCAGACGCAGCCGGAGCGCCAGCCGGGGCAGGUUUGCCGAGUCGUGGAAAAGGUUAAGUUCCAAGCAGGGGUCCACCAAGCGCUCGGGACUCCCGUCGCAGCAGACGCCGGCUCAGAAAUCCUGGAUAGAAAGAGCAUUUUAUAAAAGAGAAUGUGUCCACAUCAUACCCAGCACCAAAGACCCCCAUAGGUGUUGCUGUGGGCGUCUGAUAGGCCAGCAUGUUGGCCUCACCCCCAGUAUCUCUGUGCUUCAGAAUGAGAAAAAUGAAAGUCGCCUCUCCCGAAAUGACAUCCAGUCCGAAAAGUGGUCCAUCAGCAAACACACUCAACUCAGCCCUACGGAUGCUUUUGGGACCAUUGAGUUCCAAGGAGGCGGCCAUUCCAACAAAGCCAUGUAUGUGCGAGUAUCUUUUGAUACAAAACCUGAUCUCCUCUUACACCUGAUGACCAAGGAAUGGCAGUUGGAGCUUCCCAAGCUUCUCAUCUCUGUCCAUGGGGGCCUGCAGAACUUUGAACUCCAGCCAAAACUCAAGCAAGUCUUUGGGAAAGGGCUCAUCAAAGCAGCUAUGACAACUGGAGCGUGGAUAUUCACUGGAGGGGUUAACACAGGUGUUAUUCGUCAUGUUGGAGACGCCUUGAAGGAUCAUGCAUCUAAGUCUCGAGGAAAGAUAUGCACCAUAGGUAUUGCCCCCUGGGGAAUUGUGGAAAAUCAGGAGGACCUCAUUGGAAGAGAUGUUGUCCGGCCAUACCAGACCAUGUCCAAUCCCAUGAGCAAGCUCACUGUUCUCAACAGCAUGCAUUCCCACUUCAUUCUGGCUGACAAUGGUACCACUGGAAAAUAUGGAGCAGAGGUGAAACUUCGGAGACAACUGGAAAAGCAUAUUUCACUCCAGAAGAUAAACACAAGUAAGUAGCGGUUGUUCCCACUGGCAUGGCUUGUAGGAAGUGUGCUGAAAGUGAAUAACUUUAAGUAUACCAUGCAGCAAUGUAAUAAAAACUUGAGCAAGUUUUAAACAUGAACCAUUAUUUCUACUGGGCCAGAGCUUAGAAUGAGAGGAAGCCAUCCAGAGGAGAACAAUUGGAGGUGUAAGAAGUAAUUACACAAUUAGUGACUCCAGCUUAUGUAUCAUGUGUGAAAAAUUCAACUCCAUCUGGGGUAUGUGUAUGCAGAUAAGCUUUCUCUUCAGACUUUUCCUUCAUCAUCUGCAUGGUACUCUAAGGAGAAAAGUUUCUAUUUAUUAAGCUUUUUUGGUGGCUAAACAGAAAAGCAAAAGAAUCAGAUUUUGAUCUUAGCACCGAUCUGGCUGUGCAAAGGCAUUUCAAAGAAAUUGAACAUUCACUCUCUAAGCUAAAGCAUCAUGUGAAAAUGUUUCUAUUUAUUAAGCUUUUUUUGGUGGCUAAACAGAAAUGUUUCUAUUUAUUAAGAGAAAAUGUUUCUAUUUAUUAAGCUUUUUUAGUGGCUAAACAGAAAAGCAAAAGAAUCAGAUUUUGAUCUUAGCACCGAUCUAGCUGUGCAAAGGCAUUUCAAAGAAAUUGAACAUUCACUGUCUAAGCUAAAGCAUCAUGUGAAACUAUCUUCGUGAAAUUUUAAUUGUCUGAAUUUUAAGUAUGGAUUCAUUGUCUCUAGAUACAUAUGGAUUUAGAUAUAGAUAGAUGUAUAUGUGAACCUCAUAGUACACAGUUACACUAAUAUUAUCUCUUAAGCGCAUAAGAAUCUCUAUUUGCUGUAUUUAUUAUGUAAACAUUUGUUUUAACUGUGAAAGGUAGCAUCAUCAAAACAGCAAUGCUCCCCAGAUCACUAAGUGGCUUGCAUUUAAAUGCAAUUUAGCUAUGAAAGCAAUCUAUUGUCCCGCCUCACAAAAUAAAAUUCUAUUUGUUUUUAUAAAGUAACAGGUGAGGAUGCAUGGCAAGCUCAAACUUUGUGGUAAUUAGAUGUCCCAUCAGGGAAACUUUGAUCUAAUUGAUUGAAAUUCCAAAGUCUACAAUUCCAAAGAACAAAAGAUUCCCUUUGGCUAGAUGAGUUUUCAGAGGUUCUAUGUACUGUGAUUCAACUUUUCCAAAUCACUUUUCCCUUCUCUAGAUUUUUGUCUGCACCUGUCCCAAAUGGGUCUUCAUUGCCAUAGCCACCUUCCUCCCAAAACUGGGAUGUUAGAUUUAUCAGACCACAGCUUCUUCCUACACUCUCUUUUCUGGUCCCACCUUUUAGGGACUGCUACUGUUUAAGUGUCAUGUUUCAUGGUUUCAUAUUUUUCACAAUGAAACCUGAAAUAAUAAAUUUUGUCCUAGGUCUGAAAUAAAAAUUAUAUUAGGAAAUUUCCUUCCCCAACCUGUCUUUGGAAACAAGAAACACAAGUGUUAUUAACCCAAGGUGAACAUCUUCUGGAAACAAAAAGAGUAGAAAAGACUGGAAAAUAUACAGAGACCAGCAGAGAUCAAACAUAACAAAGCACUGUAAUCAAUGGGUGGUAGGUUUUGCUGUAAAUACUAAAAUUGAGUUCCAUUACAGUACUUGAAAGAAUGGGCAAAUGUUAUUUAAUCAGUGUUAUCUAUUUAGGUUUUUAUAAGCUACAGCAUGACUUUCUGUACACCAUCAGGUUAAGAAUGAGAGCUUAAAUGGGACUGAGCUGGAAGCCGAAGAGGAUGAGAGCAAGGAAACAAGGAUAAAUUCAGGGUCAAGUUCAGUACUCAGUAAUAAGACAAAAUCGGUCCAGAGAGGCAAAGCAUGUCAUUGUGGCAGGCCCUGGUGGUAGCUGGGCUGGUUAGCCAGUAGUGUGGGUAGCAGGCCUAGGGAUGUGUUCAUGUAAGUUACUCACCCAGCAAAGGGGAUGGGAGCUGGAGUUAAAACCCAGCCAGAGCCUAGGUUUUAGUCAAACUUUGGUGCCUUCCAGAAUGCCUAGAGGAAGGGGGUGCCUUUUUCUAAUUGAUCAUCCCAGAAGGAGUACCCUUUUGCAAUGUAUGUGCCUGGAGGGGUGCCUUUCUUCAGAAAUGGCAGAGCUGCUGCAUAUACGGAUGGCACUGCAGGGGAAGCCCAGGGAGCCUCAUGGACAGUGGCCUGGCCUCCCUGAGGAGCAGAGGCCAGCAGCACGCAGCUAAAGAGCAGGCCAUGGUGGAUGGUCAGCAUGUCAGGAAUGCUGGAAGAGUCACCACCAGAUACUAGUCCUUGGGUAGAUCAUCAGGGACACAUCAUAUUCCAUUUAUGGAAACACCAAACCUUUGCUAGAUUAUCAAGGCAGGUAGUGGCACAUGGGCACUUGACAAGCAGGGACCCGUCAGGAGUCCAGAGUACAAAGGAGGGGAGAGGCACAGAUCCAGGUACCAUGGGACUUACCUUUGGGACUGUAUUUGUGGCUUCAUAGAGACCCACAUGCUCCUCUUCCAGUGAAUAUAUUAAUAAUUAAAUGGUAAGAGGAGAGUUAUAGAAGCCCAAGAGAAAUUCUGAAGUCACAGGAAGUGAAAAGGCCCAAGGUAAGGAAUUUGUGCAUGAGCUGUAGUGAAUGUCAAGAGUUAGCUCCUACAGCAGUUCUACCCCUGAACUUAAUAGUGGUAGGGUGACCAGCUUGUCUCAGUUUGCCUGGGACUUUGUUGGGUUUAGCCGUGAAAGUCCCAAAUCCCUGGGCCCCCUCAGUCUGGGCAAACUGAGAUAAUGGGUCGCCCUACAAGUGAGGACUCAUAAGUCAUUAGGUCAACUUCCUUCAUUACUGUACUCGGCCCCCAAAGUCGGAUGGAGCAGCAAGCUCCUUAGAGUGUAGGGAGUGACCGAGGCUCUUUGAAGUAGAUAAAGCAGGACCUUUGAGGUCUCCAUUCAGUUAACAGCAAAAAAUGCUCACUGAGAACACAAAGGCCUCCAGAACAGCACUGACAAAGACACAAAGACAGGCAAAAAGUGGACCUGGUCUUAACAUGAAAACCGGCAGAAGAAUACAAACCUUUAAUGCAAUCCUCAGUCAGCAAUUUAGAACAACAAAUCUACUUUCUAACAUGGACACUUUGUGGUUCUUCCUUUUAAAAAUAAAAUUUUAUGGCCGGGCACAGUGGCUCACACCUGUAAUCCCAGCACUUUGGGAGGCCGAGGCAGGUGGAUCACGAUGUCAGGAGUUCGAGACCAGCCUGGCCAACAUGGUGAAACCCUGUCUCUACUAAAAAUACAAAAAUUAGCUGGGCAUGGUGGUGGGCGCCUGUAAUCCCAGCUACUCGGGAGACUGAGGCAGGAGAAUCGUUUGAACCCUGGAGGCGGAAGUUGCAGUGAACCGAGAUCGUGCCAUUGCACUCCAGCCUGGGCGACAGAGCAAGACUCCAUCUCAAAAAAAA
rnacentral:sRNA from 1 species